CGCUAGUAAUCGCGCAUCAGCCACGGCGCGGUGAAUACCGUUCCCGGGCCUUGUACACACCGCCCGUCAAGCCAUGAAAGCCGGGGGUACCUGAAGUGCGUAACCGCGAGGAGCGCCCUAGGGUAAAACUGGUGAUUGGGGCUAAGUCGUAACAAGGUAUC
rnacentral:rRNA from 1 species